UGUACUUUAAUCCAUGUUUUAUUGUUCCAUUUAUAGUGUCCACACAGAGGUUGAAUUAACAUAAUUCAUAAGGGACAUAGGAUUUUUGUAAAUUAGGCAAAUAAGCAUUCAAUUUAAAGUCACCAUGUGAACACUUAUAGGCUAUUGUAUGAUCAUUAAUUGGACUAAUUUCAAUAUUGUUUUGUCUUAGGGAAUAUCCCAGGUACAUAUCAUUAAACCAGCACUGAUAGUUCCUAGGUACAUAACAUUAAAAAGUCCAUGUGCAUAUUUUUGCCUGGCUGUUCCUUAUAAAUAUUUUUAACAAGAAUCU
rnacentral:lncRNA from 1 species